rnacentral:rRNA from 1 species
UGCGAGUCAUAUGUUCUUCGUGAACAUGGCGUACUGCUCAGUAACACGUGGAUAACCUGCCCUUGGGACCGGGAUAACCCCGGGAAACUGGGGAUAAUACCGGAUAACGCAUAUCUGCUGGAAUGCUUUAUGCGUAAAAUGGAUUUGUCUGCCCAAGGAUGGGUCUGCGGCCUAUCAGGUAGUAGUGGGUGUAAUGUACCUACUAGCCUACGACGGGUACGGGUUGUGAGAGCAAGAGCCCGGAGAUGGAUUCUGAGACAUGAAUCCAGGCCCUACGGGGCGCAGCAGGCGCGAAAACUUUACAAUGCGGGAAACCGUGAUAAGGGGACACCGAGUGCCAGCAUCAUAUGUUGGCUGUCCAGAUGUGUAAAAUACAUCUGUUAGCAAGGGCCGGGCAAGACCGGUGCCAGCCGCCGCGGUAACACCGGCGGCCCGAGUGGUGAUCGUGAUUAUUGGGUCUAAAGGGUCCGUAGCCGGUUUGGUCAGUCCUCCGGGAAAUCUGACGGCUCAACCGUUAGGCUUUCGGUGGAUACUGCCAGACUUGGAACCGGGAGAGGUAAGAGGUACUACAGGGGUAGGAGUGAAAUCUUGUAAUCCCUGUGAGACCACCUGUGGCGAAAGCGUCUUACCAGAACGGGUUCGACGGUGAGGGACGA